rnacentral:rRNA from 1 species
GAGCAGCUUGCUGCUUUGAGACCGGCGCACGGGUGCGUAACGCGUAUACAAUCUACCUUUUACAGAGGGAUAGCCCAGAGAAAUUUGGAUUAAUACCUCAUAGUAUUUUCGGAUCGCAUGAUUUGAUUAUUAAAGUUCCAACGGUAAAAGAUGAGUAUGCGUCCCAUUAGCUAGAUGGUAAGGUAACGGCUUACCAUGGCUACGAUGGGUAGGGGUCCUGAGAGGGAGAUCCCCCACACUGGUACUGAGACACGGACCAGACUCCUACGGGAGGCAGCAGUGAGGAAUAUUGGACAAUGGGCGCAAGCCUGAUCCAGCCAUGCCGCGUGCAGGAAGAAGGUCCUAUGGAUUGUAAACUGCUUUUAUACAGGAAGAAACACCUCUACGUGUAGAGACUUGACGGUACUGUAUGAAUAAGGACCGGCUAACUCCGUGCCAGCAGCCGCGGUAAUACGGAGGGUCCAAGCGUUAUCCGGGAUCAUUGGGUUUAAAGGGUCCGUAGGCGGC